rnacentral:sRNA from 14 species
ACACUGCUAAGAUAUCGAAAUCGAAUGUCUAAGGUAAUGUACGAUAGAAAUAUUUCGAAUGUGUAAUUGAAUUUCUUACGAAUUUGUCAUUUAUUCCUUAAACUGUGAGUCCUGUUUCAAACCAAACUACAAAUAUUUUUGUGCAUAUACAUAUGACAAAUUCAUUUUGUAGCAACUUUAGCGCUAUAUCAAUCAACAGAAUGAAGAAAUGUUAAGUGGUCUUUGCAAUUUAAGAUAUGAAUUGUGGUCAAACUAUUAAUAUAAUACGUAGUGCAGAUGAACACAUCUUUAUAAGAAAAAUGUAGUAGAACACAAAUUUACUAUUUUUGUGUAAUAAAACUGAUUAGUAGUAUCAAAGUAUUUUAUAAAUACUUGUGAGAUAUAUAAAGGUCGUUACUAUUUUCAAGAAGAAGUAAUGUAAUGGAUUCACCACACAACCCUACAAACGAUUAUCCAGAUGGUCAGUGAAUAACACUUUUACAGGCAAACCAACUUUUCGAAAAUGAUGUAAUAUGCAACAAUCUAAUUAAAGUAUCACACUUUUAUAUGUGCUGUAUUUGUACUCUCCUAAUUCAUAUAUGUGUUUAAAUGGAUUCAUUGGUUGUUAUAUAUGCUAUGUGUGGUCAAGAGACAUAUUGGGUUGCCCGAAAAGUAAUUGCGGAUUUUUCAUAUAGUCGUCGUUGAC